rnacentral:lncRNA from 1 species
CGCGCCCGGGCUGCCCUGGCGGCCGAGACGCGGGGGCGCGCGGGCCGCCGCCAUGCGGUCCUCGCAUCACGUGGCCCGAGACGCGCGGAGCCUCGCGGAACCCGCCUCUCGCCUCCCGCCACCUCCGCGCUCGACCCGGUCUUUUUCGGGUCUCGCAGGAAGACGCCACAGCUGCUCUCGGUUGUUUCACUGCAUAAAAACACGCUCUCUGUGUGGGGCGGGUGACGUGUCAGGACUGCAUGUGGCCGUCGUCCCCACCCGGCCUAGAUCCCCGGGAGGCCUGCGCAGUUGCCGCGUUCCAGGCCCGUGGCCUAGCUGUGCGUGCCUGUGGGUCGGCCGGGGCACCUUCCGCCUACCAGUCAAGGGCCCAGGAGUCCAUGAGGCCCCAGGGAGGGCGAGAGGCGUCCCGGGGAUCCAGGGUCCUGGGGAGGGUUGGUGCAGAAAGAUCGUUGGAACAAACCGCUCCUUUUUAGCCGAGAGACUUAAGAAUGAGGUCACUUCCGAAAGGUCAGGCUGUCUUCCACAGUCACCUGGCCUGGCCCCAGCCCGCCAGGAAACCAGGUCACCAUGAUCAGCUCUCCAUGGCUGGACAGAUGAAGAAAUGGGAGACAGGGAGGCUGAGGAACUGGGGAGCCCGUGUUACUUGCUUAAUGGCCAUGUACUACAGCAAGGCAAGAAUCAGAUAUGAUAUGACCAUCUCUAGUAUCCAUUCCAAAUUCAUGACAACAUAGGGACUCAGUAAACAUUGAACAUGAUGGAAAAAAAUCCCCAUUGAACGUGAUGGAGUAGAAGGAGGUGCUGGAACCUUGGAACCGCGGAAGAGCCUUGUGGGAGCUCUUCCAACCAUUGGCCCAAGAAAGGAGUAUUGAGACACAGCCCUCCCUCUUUCUUUUCCUGUCCCAGCCAUGAGAUAUGCUUACAAUAGCCGCCUGUAGAGUCCUGUGUGGAAGAAUGCAAAGGGCGGUCUGCACACUGGAGAGCCAAAGAAUCCAGUCAAAGGUGAAAGACCUGAAGCUCACUGCCCAGUCCUGUUGCAGUCUGUAUCAGGAAGCUGAAGGGUCGAUGUUCAGAGGCUGAGGAGUCUGCGUGAGAAGGCUAGUAGAGACAGACAUCCAAAAGCAAUGGCAAAGAUUGGAGCUCCUCCAAAGAUGAAGAAGCAAGACUUCCUUCUUUCCCUUUUUAUUCCAUUCAGGCUACAAGCCUAUUGGCUGGUGCCACCCACCCCCAGGGUGGGUCUUUCCUCUUCAGUCAGUCCUUCAUUCAGUCACACCCAGGACUCUGCCAAGCCAGUCAGCUGGGUGUUUCUUAUUCAAAUUGACACGACAAUUAGCUAUCAUACCUAUAAUAAUUACCCAUAGUAAUUUUUCUUCACAUAGGGCUCAUUAAAGUUUCAUGCAUUUGCCAGGGAUGUAGCUCAGCAGCACAGCGCCUGCCUGGCAAGCUUGAGGUCCUGAGUUUGAUCCCCAGUGCCAUAAAUAAAUAAAUAAAUAAAUAAAUAAAUAAAUAAAUGUAUGUUGGCACAUAUGGACUGCAUCUCACACAUCUGAUUGUAACAGAGUGGAUUAUGGGAGGGGACAGGCAUCAUAGAUGCAGAUGACAUGACUCAGAAUCCUAUUGGUCACAUUGGCCAUCAUGCUCUGGAAGACCCAAUGGGAGGCAUCCUACACCAGGUACAGCAUUUUAAAUUCUUAAACCCAACACAUUUAGCAUUAACGCCAUUUUCCAUUUAACCAGUGCAAGCUCACUCACUCUGAGCAAACCAUCCCCUAAUAAAACUUCGUUAAACUUUAUUGCUUUUCUCCUUCCCAUCAUGUGCAAUUCUUUUUUUUUUUUAACGUGCAAUCCUUUAUUGCAAUUCUUUGUUUCCUUACUGUCACACACCGGAACUUAGAAACCCGUCCAGACCUCAUCAACUUGGACAAAAGAACUGAAUCUAACACUGGAAUCACUGCACGUUAGCUGUAACUUUUAGAUGUAAAAUGAUGAGACUGAACAAGAUGUUCUCUUUGGUCUCUGGGAGUUUUCAAUUUGUGAGAACCCUAGGAAUAGCACCUUAAAACUAGUUACUUUGGGUCAAAUCUAUAACAAUUUAACUGGAAAAGGGACUUAAGAGUUAGACUUAUUGAUAAGCAAUGGAAAAUACAAAAUGACAGUGGUGUAAGUAAGAUUAGGUUUUCUUUCUUUCCUCCUCCUCCUUCUCCUUCUUCCUCUUUAUAUAUAUUUUUUCACUAUAUAAGCCAGGAGGCCUUUCACCUCCCUAGGAAGCCCAGGCCGGUCUUGAAUUCUCAAUUCUGUCUCAGCUCCCCAAGUGCUGGGAUGACAGGCACAUUACACAUGCUGGACUAAAACAAUGUUUUCUUUAUGUCAUGACCUAUCAUUAUAUAACAAAUUACCCCAAAACUUAGUGGCAUAAAGGAGAAACAUUUACUGUUUCUUAGUUUAUGAGAUCCAGAAAUCCUGGGAUGGUUUGGCUGGGUGGUUCUAGCUUAAACUGCAUGCUCUGGAAACAUUUUUCCCAGAUGCAUUUGGUUUAAAAGGGUAGGUAUGUGACUCUCAGAAUCCAAACAGCCAAACAUUACUGUAAAUCCAUUUGUUUUCCCUUUUCAUGUGGGCAAUAAUGUCAAAUGUGCUAUGCAGGCAGAUUAACGUUUCAGACAAACUUAGGGCCGGGGAUUUAGCUCAGUGGUUCCGCUGCCUGCCUUGCAGGCACAAGGACCUGAGUUUGAUCCCCAGUACCCAAAAAAAAAAAAAAAAAAAAAAAAGAUUAAACAUUUUAGACAAACUUGAUUGACUUUUAAUAUAAACUGUUACAAUGCACACUGAUUGUAUAUAAAAACCUUAUAUGUGACAAAUUAAAUUUAAGAGAAAGGAAAAAAAGAAAACAAACUUAAUUUGGAUAAUUCAAGUGAGACUCUCUUCACAAUUUGCAACCUAAAAUAUUGAAAUCCUUUCCCUCAAGAGUAUUCUAAAAUUGUAUCGGUCCAUUAUCUUUAUGUAAUAUAAAUAUUUCUAGGUAGCUGACAUUGCAGUAAGUUAUACAUUUUUUGUAAAGGUGUUCCUGUUGUAGACAAAGAAUAGAACAGCAAACAAGUUUCUGGUUUAAUAAAGUAAUUCCCAGAAAAAGCAUAAGUACACACAAUGAUUAUUACCAGAUCUUUUGUCAGAACAGUGUUUUGGUACCUGAAUAAUCCAUAAAAGAAAAAUAGUGGGUCAUUGUUAUGGCUUGUAUCAAGAUGUCCCCUCAAAACCUCAUGCACUCAUAGAUGGGGCUUUUUCAAGGUGGCAGGAGCUAGAGUGUGUGAUGCUGGGAUUAAGGAUCUGAUGCUAGGAUUGAUUCAUGGUGUGAUGCUAGGAUUAAGGGUGCCCCACCUUGGGUGUGAGUGUUAGCCACCCUAAGAGCAGGUAGCCUGGAUAGAAUACAAGGGAAAGAAAGAGGGCUGCUUAUUGCUUGUUGCUUACUGCUUGUGGCUUCUCCUCUACUUCGCAGCUUUACUGCCUUCUGCCUGCCAUGAAUUGUUUCUCCUCCAUGAUGCCCUCUGCCAUGCCACCCUGUCUUGGAGCCAGCUAACUUUGGACUAAAACCUCUACAAUCUGAGCUACAAUAAAUUUUUCUUCCUUUAACUUUGGGUGUCAGGAUUUUUGUCUCAGCAAUGAGAAAAAUGCCUAAGACAGUCAUACUGGCCUAGUUUGCAGGGUGAGCAAUGAAUAAGUGAUGAUUAUGAAAUAUUUACCAAAUCCAAAUGUCUAAUUUGGUUUAGCCAUAGGAUGGGCUGAAUUAAAAGGAGAAUUAUUAUCACAAAGGACUACAGGUUUAUACAUGUUUAAUCUUGCCAGCCUCCUACUGAACAUUCCUAAGAAAUGAUAUUUCUUCUUUUAUAUAUAUCAUAAUACUUGUAUGAGCUUUCUCUCCAAAGGUAAAGGUGUAUUAUGCAUUGAUGAAUGUCAUCAGUUAUUAAAAGAUUAACUAAAUACUAGGCACCACAUUAUCUCACAACUUUGUGAAGUAGAAGUAGGUCCUGAUGACCCAAUUUUAUAGAUGAGGAAUCAAAGUUCAGAGAGGCAGAAGUAAGAUUUCAAGCCAGCACUCUCUCCGUGCACAACUAUCACACAUUUACUUUCUGUUAAAAACAAGUCUGACCAUUUAACUUUGCUGGGCACCUCGUUGGGGAAAAGGGAUACAAAGUGGAAAACAAUGACAGCAGAGCAAGAGGCAGAGUACACACUGUUUCGGGGUUCUUAGCUACAUGCUUGUCCUCUACAAAAUUAACAGCAGCAGAUAUGAAGUAAUAAGUAAGGGCUAAUAAACUAUGGGACUGAUAAUGCAUCUGCAGUAAAACUUACACCAGAGAUUUCCAGUGCUGAAUUAACUCAGUCCUUUACAGGACCCUUCAAAGUAUGGACCUUGGAGAACUUGAAUCGAAUCACAUCAGAUACUUUUAAAGAAGUGAUCGCUAAGACUUAUCCUUGGAAAUCCAAUUCAAAGCAUUUGGAGCAAGGUCUAGGAUUCUAUAUAUGAGUCCUAUGCAACAAACGUUUGAUAAACGCUCUUCCAGCUACUAACCUCAGUUCCAUAAUUGAAACUUUUUCAAACUUCAUAAGGUGGUUGCAGAGUUC